GUCGUUUCAGCGCUGUGAUUCAACUGGAGAAAGGAUAAAGUGUCCAAACACAGAGAAAAACUCCUGCUGAAGCGACUGAUCUCCACACUGUUAUAAAGAUGGCGUUUAUUAAAGAGGAGAGUGAAGAUGUGAAGAUUGAAGAAACAUUCAGAGUCAAACAGGAAGAUCUGCAGGAACAAACAGUCCCUUUAGUCCCCCAGCGGAAUGUACCGCCAACUCAUCCAGCACGUUUUUAUGCACCGGAUGCUCUUCCAGCCACAACCGCAAUGUCUUUGAACUUGUGGGGGAAACCGAAGCACUCGGAGGAGACCCACACGAACGUGGGGAGAACAUGCAAACUCCACACAGAAAUGCCUAAUCCUUUGAUCACACAGAAAUGCCAACUGACCCAGCCGAGGCUCAAACCAACAACCUUCUUGGUGUGAGGCAACAGCACUACCUACUGCGCCACCUCGUCGCCUGGAAACACUGAUUUAUUUGUAUAUUUUUUAUGCAAUAUUCCAGUUUUGCAAGUAAAUUUAAUUCACCUUUUUGGAUGGAAACAGCUAUUGCCUACAUUUCAGUCACACAAAGAACCAAGUCACGUACAAGAAUGGCUUGUCCUUCUUUAAU